rnacentral:rRNA from 1 species
UACGUAGGGUGCAAGCGUUAAUCGGAAUUACUGGGCGUAAAGCGUGCGCAGGCGGCUUUGCAAGACAGAUGUGAAAUCCCCGGGCUCAACCUGGGAACUGCAUUUGUGACUGCAUGGCUAGAGUACGGUAGAGGGGGAUGGAAUUCCGCGUGUAGCAGUAAAAUGCGUAGAUAUGCGGAGGAACACCGAUGGCGAAGGCAAUCCCCUGGACCUGUACUGACGCUCAUGCACGAAAGCGUGGGGAGCAAGCAGG